rnacentral:rRNA from 1 species
CCUACGGGAGGCAGCAGUGGGGAAUAUUGGGCAAUGGAGGAAACUCUGACCCAGCGACGCCGCGUGCGGGAUGAAGGCCUUCGGGUUGUAAACCGCUUUCAGUAGGGAAGAAGCGAAAGUGACGGUACCUACAAAAGAAGCACCGGCUAACUAUGUGCCAGCAGCCGCGGUAAUACAUAGGGUGCAAGCGUUGUCCGGAAUUAUUGGGCGUAAAGAGCUCGUAGGUCGUUUGUUACGUCGGAUGUGAAAACCUGAGGCUCAACCUCAGGCCUGCAUUCGAUACGGGCAAACUAGAGUUUGGUAGGGGAGACUGGAAUUCCUGGUGUAGCGGUGGAAUGCGCAGAUAUCAGGAGGAACACCAAUGGCGAAGGCAGGUCUCUGGGCCAAUACUGACACUGAGGAGCGAAAGUCUGGGGAGCGAACAGGAUUAGAUACCCUGGUAGUCCAGACCGUAAACGGUGGGCACUAGUUGUGGGAACCUUCCACGGUUUCUGCGACGCNGCUACGCAUAGUGCCCGCCGUCGGGAGGUACGAGUCGCGAGAGUAAACUACAAUAGAAGUUAAGUACGGCGUUGAGACGUUGCCGACGGCGACGACGAGGGAGGUUAGG